CAGCAGCCACGGUAAUACGUAGGUGGCAAGCGUUGUCCGGAAUUAUUGGGCGUAAAGCGCGCGCAGGCGGAUCGGUCAGUCUGUCUUAAAAGUUCGGGGCUUAACCCCGUGAUGGGAUGGAAACUGCCAAUCUAGAGUAUCGGAGAGGAAAGUGGAAUUCCUAGUGUAGCAGUGAAAUGCGUAGAUAUUAGGAAGAACACCGGUGGCGAAGGCGACUUUCUGGACGAAAACUGACGCUGAGGCGCGAAAGCCAGGGGAGCGAACGGGAUUAGAUACCCCCGUAGUCCCUGUCUCUUAUACA
rnacentral:rRNA from 1 species